rnacentral:rRNA from 1 species
GAUGAACGCUGACAGAAUGCUUAACACAUGCAAGUCAACUUGAACUUCGGUUUGGGUGGCGGACGGGUGAGUAACGCGUAAAGAACUUGCCUCACAGCUAGGGACAACAUUUGGAAACGAAUGCUAAUACCUGAUAUUAUGAUUAUAUGGCAUCGUAUAAUUAUGAAAGCUAUAUGCGCUGUGAGAGAGCUUUGCGUCCCAUUAGCUAGUUGGAGAGGUAACAGCUCACCAAGGCGAUGAUGGGUAGCCGGCCUGAGAGGGUGAUCGGCCACAAGGGGGCUGAGACACGGCCCUUACUCCUACGGGAGGCAGCAGUGGGGAAUAUUGGACAAUGGACCGAGAGUCUGAUCCAGCAAUUCUGUGUGCACGAUGAAGUUUUUCGGAAUGUAAAGUGCUUUCAGUUGGGAAGAAAAAAAUGACGGUACCAACAGAAGAAGUGACGGCUAAAUACGUG